CCCCAGUAAACGGCGGCCGUAACUAUAACGGUCCUAAGGUAGCGAAAUUCCUUGUCGGGUAAGUUCCGACCCGCACGAAAGGCGUAACGAUUUGGGCACUGUCUCAACGAGAGACUCGGUGAAAUUUUAGUACCUGUGAAGAUGCAGGUUACCCGCGACAGGACGGAAAGACCCCAUGGAGCUUUACUGUAGUUUGAUAUUGAGUGUCUGUACCGCAUGUACAGGAUAGGUAGGAGCCGUAGAAAUCGGAACGCUAGUUUCGAUGGAGGCGCUGGUGGGAUACUACCCCUGCGUUAUG
rnacentral:rRNA from 1 species